AAGUCGUAACAAGGUUUCCGUAGGUGAACCUGCGGAAGGAUCAUUAAUGAAUAAGAACACGUCUCAUGGCGUUCUUGGAUCAUUGUACAUUCGUCUUUGAUCCAGUUCUCUCAUAUCCAUAACACCUGUGCACUGUUGGAUGCUUGCAUCCACUUUUAAACUAAACAUUAUUGUAACAAAUGUAGUCUUAUUAUAACAUAAUAAAACUUUCAACAACGGAUCUCUUGGCUCUC
rnacentral:misc_RNA from 1 species